rnacentral:rRNA from 1 species
UCUCACCCUNUAUGACGCUCCAUUCCAGGAGACUUUGCACGGUCCAGCGNGGAAGACGCUUCUUUAAAUUACAACUCGGACGGCCAAAGACCAUCAGAUUUUAAAUUUGAACUUUUCCCGCUUCACUCGCAGUUACUAGGGGAAUCCUUGUUAGUUUCUUUNCUCUUGGUCAAUUUAGAGGAAGUAAAAGUCGUAACAAGGUUUCCGUAGGUGAACCUGCGGAAGGAUCAUUAUCGUACAACGGAGGUGUGAGGGCUGUCGCUGACCUUUAGAGGUCGUGCACGCCCGAGCACUUUCAUACAAUCCAUCUCACCCCUUUGUGCAUCACCGCGUGGGUCCCCUUUGCGGGAGGGCCCGCGUUUUCACAUAAAACUCGAUACAGUGUAGAAUGUUCUUUUGCGAUCACACGCAAUCAAUACAACUUUCAACAACGGAUCUCUUGGCUCUCGCAUCGAUGAAGAACGCAGCGAAAUGCGAUACGUAAUGUGAAUUGCAGAAUUCAGUGAAUCAUCGAAUCUUUGAACGCACCUUGCGCCCCUUGGCAUUCCGAGGGGCACACCCGUUUGAGUGUCGUGAAAUCCUCAAAAACCCUUUUCUUGUCAGGAAAGGGAUUUUUGGACUUGGAGGUUCAAUGCUCGCCUUUCACUUUUGAAAGUGAGCUCCUCUCAAAUGAAUUAGUGGGGUCCGCUUUGCUGAUCCUUAACGUGAUAAGAUGCUUCUACGUUUUGGACCCGGCUCUGUCCCUUGGAUGCCUGCUUCUAACUGUCCCACGGACAAUGAUGGUGCUUCGGUCACUGCCAUCUACAUUGGCGGGAGGCUGGACCCACAAAAUGAAAACCUUGACCUCAAAUCGGGUGAGACUACCCGCUGAACUUAAGCAUAUCAAUAAGCGGAGGAAAAGAAACUAACAAGGAUUCCCCUAGUAACUGCGAGUGAAGCGGGAAAAGCUCAAAUUUAAAAUCUGAUGGUCUUUGGCCGUCCGAGUUGUAAUUUAGAGAAGCGUCUUCCGCGCUGGACCGUGCACAAGUCUCCUGGAAUGGAGCGUCAUAGAGG